UGGGUAACCUGCCUCAAAGAGGGGAAUAGCCUCCCGAAAGGGAGAUUAAUACCGCAUAAUAUGUUUUAGUCGCAUGACUUAAACAUCAAAGGAUUUUCUUUAGAAAUUCCACUUCGAGAUGGACCCGCGGCGCAUCAGCUAGUUGGUGAGGUAACGGCUCACCAAGGCAACGAUGCGUAGCCGACCUGAGAGGGUNAUCGGCCACAUUGGAACUGAGACCACGGUCCAGACCUCGUACGGGAG
rnacentral:rRNA from 1 species